GGAGGAAAGCAGGGGAUCGCAAGACCUUGCGCUUUUGGAGCGGCCGAUGUCUGAUUAGCUAGUUGGUGAGGUAAAGGCUUACCAAGGCUUCGAUCAGUAGCUGGUCUGAGAGGACGACCAGCCACACUGGGACUGAGACACGGCCCAGACUCCUACGGGAGGCAGCAGUGGGGAAUUUUGGACAAUGGGGGAAACCCUGAUCCAGCCAUGCCGCGUGAGUGAAGAAGGCCUUCGGGUUGUAAAGCUCUUUCAGCCGGAACGAAAAGGUUACGGUUAAUACCCGUGACUAAUGACGGUACCGGAAGAAGAAGCACCGGCUAACUACGUGCCAGCAGCCGCGGUAAUACGUAGGGUGCGAGCGUUAAUCGGAAUUACUGGGCGUAAAGCGUGCGCAGGCGGUUUUGUAAGUCAGAUGUGAAAUCCCCGGGCUCAACCUGGGAACUGCGUUUGAAACUACAAAGCUGA
rnacentral:rRNA from 1 species